rnacentral:rRNA from 1 species
GUGUCAGCAGCCGCGGUAAUACGAAGGUGACAAGCGUUGUUCGGAAUCAUUGGGCGUAAAGCGCACGUAGGCGGGUUUGUAAGUCGAUUGUGAAAACCCUGGGCUCAACCCGGGAAUUGCAGUCGAAACUGCAAGUCUUGAAUGCUGGAGAGGAUGGUGGAAUUCCAGGAGUAGAAGUGAAAUUCGUAGAUAUCUGGAGGAACACCGGAGGCGAAAGCGGCCAUCUGGCCAGCCAUUGACGCUAAGGUGCGAAAGCGUGGGGAUCAAACAGGAUUAGAAACCCCCGUAGUCC